rnacentral:rRNA from 1 species
GGGAGGCAGCAGUGGGGAAUAUUGGACAAUGGGCGAAAGCCUGAUCCAGCCAUGCCGCGUGUGUGAAGAAGGUCUUCGGAUUGUAAAGCACUUUAAGUUGGGAGGAAGGGCAGUAAGCGAAUACCUUGCUGUUUUGACGUUACCGACAGAAUAAGCACCGGCUAACUCUGUGCCAGCAGCCGCGGUAAUACAGAGGGUGCAAGCGUUAAUCGGAAUUACUGGGCGUAAAGCGCGCGUAGGUGGUUUGUUAAGUUGGAUGUGAAAGCCCCGGGCUCAACCUGGGAACUGCAUCCAAAACUGGCAACCUAUAGUAGGUUAGAGGGUGGUGGAAUUUCCUGUGUAGCGGUGAAAUGCGUAGAUAUAGGAAGGAACACCAGUGGCGAAGGCGACCACCUGGACUGAUACUGACACU